GCUUAGAGUUUGAUCCUGGCUCAGGAUGAACGCUAGCGGAACGCCUAACACAUGCAAGUCGAACGAGUUUUAUUUUGUAGCAAUACAGAAUAAAAUUAGUGGCAAACGAGCGAGUAACGCGUACUUAAUCUGCCCAAAAGUUGAGAACAACUAUAGAGAUGUAGCUAAUUCUCAAUAUGCUCACGAUGGUGAAAAUCCGAUGUGAGGAAAGAUUUAUCGCUUUUGGAGGAGGGUGCGUCCUAUCAGGUUGUUGGUGAGGUAAUAGCUCACCAAGCCUAUGACGGGUAGCCGGUCUGAGAUGAUGUCCGGCCGCGAUGGAACUGAGAUACGGUCCAUACUCCUACGGGAGGCAGCAGUGGGGAAUCUUGCACAAUGGGCGAAAGCCUGAUGCAGCGGUUCCGCGUGGAGGAUGACGCAUUACGGUGUGUAAACUCCUUCUUUGGUGGAAGACGAAUGACGGUACACCAAGAAUAAGGGACGGCUAACUACGUGCCAGCAGCCGCGGUAAUACGUAGGUCCCAAGCGUUAUCCGGAUUUACCGGGCGUAAAGUGUCCGUAGCCUGGUAUAUAAGUCUGUUUUCAAGUGCCACGACUCAAUCGUGGAAAGGGAAUAGAUACUGUAUACCUAGAGAAUAUUGGAGGUUAGUGGAAUUUCCGGUGGAGCAGUGAAAUGCGUUGAUAUCGGAAAGAACGCCGAAAGCGAAAGCAGCUAACUAUGAUAUUUCUGACGGUGAUGGACGACAGCUUGAGUAGCAAACGGGAUUAGAUACCCCCGGUAGUUCAAGCCGUAAAUUAUCCUUUGCUAGGUGUCUCCAUAACUAUUGGUAUAGCAUUUGUUAUAUCAAAAGUUAUGGAGGUGCCGUAAGUUAACACGUUAAGCAAGGCGCCUGUGUAGUAUAUUCGCAAGAAUGAAACACAAAGGGAUAGACGGGGGAACACACAAGCAGUGGAUGAUCUAGAUUAAUUGGAUACUAAGCCAAGAAUCUUACCCAGACUUGACAUGGAUUGUGUCUACGAUGAAAGUCGUAUAGCUAUAGCAAUAUAGCGCUUUUCACAGAUGGUGCAUGGUCGUCGUCAGCUCGUGCCGCAAGGUGUCUAGUUAAGUCUAGUAACGAGCGCAACCCUCAUCGUUAGUUAGUUAUGUCUAACGAGACUGCCCGCGUAAGCGGGAGGAAGGAGAGGAUGACGUCAGAUCCUCAUGCCUCUUACGUCUGGGGCUUCAUAGAUCAUACAAUGGGUAGUUACAAUGAGAAGCAAUACCGCAAGGUGGAGCAAAUCUUCAAAGCUACCCUCAGUUCGGAUUGUAGUCUGGAAUUCGACUACAUGAAGUUGGAAUUGCUAGUAAUGGUGAAUCAGCCAUGUCACCGUGAAUAUGUCCCUGUUCCUUGCACUCACCGCCCGUCAAACCAUGGGAGUUGGGGCUCUUUGAAGACUCGCUAUGCGGGUUAAGGAGAGAACCGAUGACUGGGGUUAAGUCGUAACAAGGUAACCAAGCC
rnacentral:rRNA from 1 species